rnacentral:rRNA from 1 species
CGGAGAGUUUGAUCCUGGCUCAGGACGAACGCUGGCGGCGUGCCUAAUACAUGCAAGUCGAACGAACUCUGGUAUUGAUUGGUGCUUGCAUCAUGAUUUACAUUUGAGUGAGUGGCGAACUGGUGAGUAACACGUGGGAAACCUGCCCAGAAGCGGGGGAUAACACCUGGAAACAGAUGCUAAUACCGCAUAACAACUUGGACCGCAUGGUCCGAGUUUGAAAGAUGGCUUCGGCUAUCACUUUUGGAUGGUCCCGCGGCGUAUUAGCUAGAUGGUGAGGUAACGGCUCACCAUGGCAAUGAUACGUAGCCGACCUGAGAGGGUAAUCGGCCACAUUGGGACUGAGACACGGCCCAAACUCCUACGGGAGGCAGCAGUAGGGAAUCUUCCACAAUGGACGAAAGUCUGAUGGAGCAACGCCGCGUGAGUGAAGAAGGGUUUCGGCUCGUAAAACUCUGUUGUUAAAGAAGAACAUAUCUGAGAGUAACUGUUCAGGUAUUGACGGUAUUUAACCAGAAAGCCACGGCUAACUACGUGCCAGCAGUCGCGGUAAUACGUAGGUGGCAAGCGUUGUCCGGAUUUAUUGGGCGUAAAGCGAGCGCAGGCGGUUUUUUAAGUCUGAUGUGAAAGCCUUCGGCUUAACCGGAGAAGUGCAUCGGAAACUGGGAGACUUGAGUGCAGAAGAGGACAGUGGAACUCCAUGUGUAGCGGUGGAAUGCGUAGAUAUAUGGAAGAACACCAGUGGCGAAGGCGGCUGUCUAGUCUGUAACUGACGCUGAGGCUCGAAAGCAUGGGUAGCGAACAGGAUUAGAUACCCUGGUAGUCCAUGCCGUAAACGAUGAGUGCUAAGUGUUGGAGGG